rnacentral:lncRNA from 1 species
AUGCCUUUGCCAUUGUGGUCACUGCUGUCUGCCCGCCUGCACACCACCCCACUGACCACUCUAACUGUGACCCUACUGGCUACACUGUCUGCCGUGGCUCCCUCUGCCCGCCUAAGUGUGGGCCCCGUGACCACUCCAGUCCCUUGAAUCCACUGACUGCCUACGGGCGACAUCACUAGCAAGUCUGCUUGAGUGUCCCCCAUUUUUACUUCCAGUCCCAGGAUGUUCCCACUGACCACUCCACUGGCAUCUCUGCUUGUUUCCCCAUUGCCCUCUGGCCCCCAGCUUCUCCCCCACUGACCACCUUAAAGUGUGACUCCCAGUUGGCCACUCCUAACCCAUUGGCCCUGUGGCCCUGCCCACCUACAUCCCCCCCACCCCCACCACUGACAGAUCCUUCUUGGACCACUUGUCCCAGCUCGAACCCCACUCGCUAGUGUCCUCUACUGCCUGUUGUGCCCAAGUG